rnacentral:tRNA from 1 species
GCGAUGUAGCUCAGCCUGGUUAGAGCGAGGGAUUCAUAAACCCUAGGUCACAGGUUCAAAUCCUGUCAUCGCC